UCGUGCUAUUCCUAGAGAUAGGAAGUUCCUUCGGGACACGGGAUACAGGUGGUGCAUGGUUGUCGUCAGCUCGUGUCGUGAGAUGUUGGGUUAAGUCCCGCAACGAGCGCAACCCUUAUUGUUAGUUGCCGUCAUUAAGUUGGGCACUCUAGCGAGACUGCCGGUAAUAAACCGGAGGAAGGUGGGGAUGACGUCAAAUCAUCAUGCCCCUUAUGACCUGGGCUACACACGUGCUACAAUGGUUGGUACAACGAGUCGCAAGACAGUGAUGUCAAGCUAAUCUCUUAAAGCCAAUCUCAGUUCGGAUUGUAGGCUGCAACUCGCCUACAUGAAGUCGGAAUCGCUAGUAAUCGCGGAUCAGCACGCCGCGGUGAAUACGUUCCCGGGCCUUGUACACACCGCCCGUCACACCACGAGAGUUUGUAAUACCCAAAGCCGGUGAGCUAACCUUUUAGGAGGCAGCCGUCUAAGGUAGGAUAGAUGAUUGGGGUGAAGUC
rnacentral:rRNA from 1 species